rnacentral:rRNA from 1 species
UACGUAGGGUGCAAGCGUUGUCCGGAAUUAUUGGGCGUAAAGAGCUUGUAGGCGGUUUGUCGCGUCUGCUGUGAAAUUUCGGGGCUCAACCCCGAACUUGCAGUGGGUACGGGCAGACUAGAGUGUGGUAGGGGAGACUGGAAUUCCUGGUGUAGCGGUGAAAUGCGCAGAUAUCAGGAGGAACACCCGUGGCUAAGGCGGUUCUCUAGUACGGUACUGACGCUGAGACGCGAAAGCGUGGGGAGCGAACAGG